UCCGCAGAAUCACUAGUGAAAUAAUGAGCUCCACCUGUGGAUCUUUUAAAAUGUGUCAGUGAGUAAUGCAUACAGGUGUGCACCUUCUACCGUACCUGAGUGUGCCUUGGAAACCACCCAAUAACAACGGACAAUGCUGUUUGUUACAGCAAAAUGUGGCCGAGCACAACGGGAAGCUGCUGCUGCUGGGAGCCCAGACCAACCCAGUUCUCAGCCCCCCUCCCCUUCUGUUGCCCAAUCCCCCUCUUCUUCCCAGUCCCCUUCUCAGCCCCCUCCCCUUCUGUUGCCCAAUCCCCCUCUUCUUCCCAGUCCCCUUCUCAGCCCCCCUCCCCUUCUGUUGCCCAAUCCCCCUCUUCUUCCCAGUCCCCUUCUCAGCCCCCCUCCCCUUCUGUUGCCCAAUCCCCCUCUUCUUCCCAGUCCCCUUCUCAG